GCGGAAGCCUGAUGCAGCGACGCCGCGUGAGGGAUGACGGCCUUCGGGUUGUAAACCUCUUUCAGCAGGGACGAAGCGUAAGUGACGGUACCUGCAGAAGAAGCGCCGGCCAACUACGUGCCAGCAGCCGCGGUAAGACGUAGGGCGCGAGCGUUGUCCGGAUUUAUUGGGCGUAAAGAGCUCGUAGGCGGCUUGUCGCGUCGACUGUGAAAACCCGCAGCUCAACUGCGGGCCUGCAGUCGAUACGGGCAGGCUAGAGUUCGGUAGGGGAGACUGGAAUUCCUGGUGUAGCGGUGAAAUGCGCAGAUAUCAGGAGGAACACCGGUGGCGAAGGCGGGUCUCUGGGCCGAUACUGACGCUGAGGAGCGAAAGCGUGGGGAGCGAACAGGAUUAGAUACCCUGGUAGUCCACGCUGUAAACUUGGGCGCUAGGUGUGGGGGGCCUCUCCGGUUCCCUGUGCCGCAGCUAACGCAUUAAGCGCCCCGCCUGGGGGGUACGGCCGCAAGGCUAAAACUCAAAGGAAUUGACGG
rnacentral:rRNA from 1 species